rnacentral:rRNA from 1 species
UACGAAGGGGGCUAGCGUUGCUCGGAAUGACUGGGCGUAAAGGGCGCGUAGGCGGUUCGUACAGUCAGACGUGAAAUUCCCGGGCUCAACCUGGGGGCUGCGUUUGAUACGUGCGGGCUUGAGUUCGGAAGAGGGUCGUGGAAUUCCCAGUGUAGAGGUGAAAUUCGUAGAUAUUGGGAAGAACACCGGUGGCGAAGGCGGCGACCUGGUCCUUGACUGACGCUGGAGGCGCGAAAGCGUGGGGAGCGAACAGG